GACGAACGCUGGCGGCGCGCUUAACACAUGCAAGUCGAGCGAGAACCAGGCCUUCGGGCCUGGGGAAAGCGGCGAACGGGUGAGUAACACGUGGGCAACCCACCCUUGGUACCGGGAUAGCCCGGGGAAACUCGGAUUAAUACCGGAUGGCCCAACAGCUCUUAGGGGCGGUUGGAAAAGGUAGCUUCGGCCUCCGACCAAGGACGGGCCCGCGGCGGAUUAGCUUGUUGGUGGGGUAACGGCCUACCAAGGCGACGAUCCGUAGCUGGUCUGAGAGGACGAUCAGCCACACUGGGACUGAGACACGGCCCAGACUCCUACGGGAGGCAGCAGUGGGGAAUCUUGCGCAAUGGACGACAGUCUGACGCAGCGACGCCGCGUGGGGGAAGAAGGCUUUCGGGUUGUAAACCCCUUUCAGGAAGGACGAAGCCACUCGGGUUAACAGCCCAGAGGGUGACGGUACUUCCAGAAGAAGCCCCGGCUAACUACGUGCCAGCAGCCGCGGUAAUACGUAGGGGGCAAGCGUUGUCCGGAUUUAUUGGGCGUAAAGAGCGUGUAGGCGGUUCGGUAGGUCCGU
rnacentral:rRNA from 1 species